CUUACGGGAGGCAGCAGUGGGGAAUAUUGCMCAAUGGGCSCAAGCCUGAUGCAGCCAUKCCGCGUGUAKGAAGAAGSCCUUCGGGUYGUAAAGYMCUUUCAGCGGGGAGGAAGGYGUUGAGGUUAAUAACCUYAGCRAUUGMCGUUACCCGCAGAAGAAGCACCGGCUAACUCCGUGCCASCAGCCGCGGUAAUACGGAGGGUSCAAGCGUUAAUCGGAAUUMCUGGGCGUAAAGCGCACSCAGGCGGUCUGUCAAGUCGGAUGUGAAAUCCCCGGGCUCAACCUGGGAACUGCAUUCGAAACUGGCAGGCUAGAGUCUUGUAGAGGGGGGUAGAAUUCCAGGUGUAGCGGUGAAAUGCGUAGAGAUCUGGAGGAAUACCGGU
rnacentral:rRNA from 1 species